rnacentral:rRNA from 1 species
AUGAUCGUAUAUACCUGUAUAGUACUAUACAGUAAGGCGAUGAACACCAAAACAUUUAGCUACAGCCAGACUAGACAGAGAGAUGGACGCUGGCUGAUCUAUCUAAAUUAUGUUGAAACCGAAGUACCAGAAGGCGGGACGCCGCCCUUGCCCGUCGACGCGCUUGCAGCGGCACCAGAAUGCGGUGCCGCCGCCCUUGCCCUGCGCCACCGCGACCUCCUCGUCCACGUAGAACCACAGGAAGAAGGGGUCCUUGGUGCUCGGCUCCCUGCCCACGUCGCCGCCGCCGCCGAUGGGGAUCUCCAGGGGGCCCAGCGGCCCGAGCUUGAGGCGCACCCGCUCGAAGACGAAGGCCAGGAUCUUCUUCUUCCACGACAGCCGCCCCUCGAAGCUCAGGCUCCCCGCCCGGCCCAGAAUCUGAUGCCAUGGCCGGAAUGCGAGAGAGGCACGAGGAGGUCGCUCACCGCGGCGUCGAAGCGCUGGACGGCGGUCACCGGGAAGUAG